rnacentral:rRNA from 1 species
UGGCGAACGGGUGAGUAACACGUGAGUAACCUGCCCUUGACUUUGGGAUAACUUCAGGAAACUGGGGCUAAUACCGGAUAGGAGCUCCUGCUGCAUGGUGGGGUUGGAAAGUUUCGGCGGUUGGGGAUGGACUCGCGGCUUAUCAGCUUGUUGGUGGGGUAGUGGCUUACCAAGGCUUUGACGGGUAGCCGGCCUGAGAGGGUGACCAGCCACAUUGGGACUGAGAUACGGCCCAG